rnacentral:rRNA from 1 species
GUGAGGAAUAUUGGUCAAUGGGCGGGAGCCUGAACCAGCCAAGUCGCGUGAAGGAAGAAGGAUCUAUGGUUCGUAAACUUCUUUUGCAGGGGAAUAAAGUGCAGGACGUGUCCUGUUUUGUAUGUACCCUGAGAAUAAGGAUCGGCUAACUCCGUGCCAGCAGCCGCGGUAAUACGGAGGAUCCGAGCGUUAUCCGGAUUUAUUGGGUUUAAAGGGUGCGUAGGUGGUUUGAUAAGUCAGCGGUGAAAGUUUGCAGCUUAACUGUAAAAAUGCCGUUGAAACUGUCUGACUUGAGUGUAAAUGAGGUAGGCGGAAUGCGUGGUGUAGCGGUGAAAUGCAUAGAUAUCACGCAGAACUCCGAUUGCGAAGGCAGCUUACUAAGCUACAACUGACACUGAAGCACGAAAGCGUGGGGAUCAAACAGGAUUAGAAACCCUUGUAGUCC